rnacentral:rRNA from 1 species
CCUACGGGAGGCAGCAGUGGGGAAUUUUGGACAAUGGGCGCAAGCCUGAUCCAGCAAUGCCGCGUGCAGGAUGAAGGCCUUCGGGUUGUAAACUGCUUUUGUACGGAACGAAACGGCCCUUUCUAAUACAAGGGGUUAAUGACGGUACCGUAAGAAUAAGCACCGGCUAACUACGUGCCAGCAGCCGCGGUAAUACGUAGGGUGCGAGCGUUAAUCGGAAUUACUGGGCGUAAAGCGUGCGCAGGCGGUUAUAUAAGACAGAUGUGAAAUCCCCGGGCUCAACCUGGGACCUGCAUUUGUGACUGUAUAGCUAGAGUACGGUAGAGGGGGAUGGAAUUCCGCGUGUAGCAGUGAAAUGCGUAGAUAUGCGGAGGAACACCGAUGGCGAAGGCAAUCCCCUGGACCUGUACUGACGCUCAUGCACGAAAGCGUGGGGAGCAAACAGGAUUAGAUACCCUGGUAGUCCACGCCCUAAACGAUGUCAACUGGUUGUUGGGUCUUCACUGACUCAGUAACGAAGCUAACGCGUGAAGUUGACCGCCUGGGGAGGACGGCCGCGAGUAGUUAACGUUACUAAUUAGAGUUAGNGGCGNGNGACGNGCGACGGACGACGACGAGGGAGGAGG